rnacentral:rRNA from 1 species
UCCAGACUCCUACGGGAGGCAGCAGUGGGGGAUAUUGCACAAUGGGGGAAACCCUGAUGCAGCGACGCCGCGUGGGCGAAGAAGUAUUUCGGUAUGUAAAGCUCUAUCAGCUGGGAAGAGAAUGACGGUACCUGACUAAGAAGCCCCGGCUAACUACGUGCCAGCAGCCGCGGUAAUACGUAGGGGGCGAGCGUUAUCCGGAUUUACUGGGUGUAAAGGGAGCGUAGACGGCUGGUCAAGUCUGAAGUGAAAGCCCGGGGCUUAACCCCGGAACGGCUUUGGAAACUGAGCAGCUAGAGUGCUGGAGAGGUAAGCGGAAUUCCUAGUGUAGCGGUGAAAUGCGUAGAUAUUAGGAGGAACACCAGUGGCGAAGGCGGCUUACUGGACAGUAACUGACGUUGAGGCUCGAAAGCGUGGGGAGCAAACAGGAUUAGAUACCCCGGUACG